rnacentral:rRNA from 1 species
UCGAGCGGUAGAGAGAAGCUUGCUUCUCUUGAGAGCGGCGGACGGGUGAGUAAUGCCUAGGAAUCUGCCUAGUGGUGGGGGAUAACGUUCGGAAACGGACGCUAAUACCGCAUACGUCCUACGGGAGAAAGCGGGGGAUCUUCGGACCUCGCGCCAUUAGAUGAGCCUAGGUCGGAUUAGCUAGUUGGUGAGGUAAUGGCUCACCAAGGCGACGAUCCGUAACUGGUCUGAGAGGAUGAUCAGUCACACUGGAACUGAGACACGGUCCAGACUCCUACGGGAGGCAGCAGUGGGGAAUAUUGGACAAUGGGCGAAAGCCUGAUCCAGCCAUGCCGCGUGUGUGAAGAAGGUCUUCGGAUUGUAGAGCACUUUAAGUUGGGAGGAAGGGCAGUAACCUAAUACGUUAUUGUUUUGACGUUACCGACAGAAUAAGCACCGGCUAACUUCGCGCCAGCAGCCGCGGUAAUACGAAGGGUGCAAGCGUUAAUCGGAAUUACUGGGCGUAAAGCGCGCGUAGGUGGUUCAGUAAGUUGGAAGUGAAAUCCCCGGGCUCAACCUGGGAACUGCUUUCAAAACUGCUGAGCUAGAGUACGGUAGAGGGUGGUGGAAUUUCCUGUGUAGCGGUGAAAUGCGUAGAUAUAGGAAGGAACACCAGUGGCGAAGGCGACCACCUGGACUGAUACUGACACUGAGGUGCGAAAGCGUGGGGAGCAAACAGGAUUAGAUACCCUGGUAGUCCACGCCGUAAACGAUGUCAACUAGCCGUUGGGAGUCUUGAACUCUUAGUGGCGCAGCUAACGCAUUAAGUUGACCGCCUGG